UACAGAGGUGGCGAGCGUUACUCGGAUUUAUUGGGUGUAAAGGGCAGGUAGGUGGCUAUGUAAGUUGAGGGUGAAAUCCUGGAGCUUAACUCCAGAACUGCCUUCAAAACUGCAUAGCUUGAGGCCAAAAGAGGAGAGCGGAAUUCCCGGUGUAAGGGUGAAAUCUGUAGAUAUCGGGAGGAACACCAGUGGCGAAGGCGGCUCUCUGGUUUGGCCCUGACGCUGAACUGCGAAAGCUUGGGGAG
rnacentral:rRNA from 1 species